AAUUAUAUUUAAUUACAAGUGUGCCCCUGGUAGUCUUUAACUGAAGGGCACUGACUGGGUCACUGGUGAAGUUCCCCGCAGGAACUGAGUCAGACCCCAUCUCAGGGCCCUGCACAAGAUAGGUGCCUGCUCUAAGGCGUGGACCCUCGCCACAGCCCUGGCCCGUCUUGACGGGCGAGGGUUACUGUACUUGUCCCAACCGUACAGAUGAGAAAGCUGAGACUCAGGGCCAGCAACCCGGGUCCCAGCGGAGCGCCCGGCACACGCCGACACUUCAGCACCAGUGGCGGUGGCCACCACUGUGGGCGGAGAUGGCUGCGACGCGUGCGCAGAUCUCGAUCCCAAACUCCCUCCUGCCAGAAUCUGGACCCGAAUCCACCCAUUGCCCGUUUUCCGCUGCCGCUGGAGAGAAUCUCUGAGGUCCCCAGGAGAGCCUGCCUGCACGGAAGAGACGCCUCCUCGGGAAAUUUGUGCACAGAGAUAACACAGGGGAUAUGCCAUAUGAAGAUGAAGGCAGAAUUCUACAAGCCCAGGGAUGCCAAAGAUUGCCAGCAAACCACCAGAAGCUAGGAGAGAAGUGUGGAUUAGAUUCUUCCUCACAGCCCUCAGAAGGAUCCAGCCCUGCCAAGAACUUGAUCUCAGACUUCUAGUCUCCAGAACUGUGAGACAGUGCAUUUUGUUUUGUAAGUCAGCCAUAUGGUUUGUGGCACUUUUUUAUGGCAGCCCUAGGAGAUGAAGACAAUAUGCAACAUGGUAUGUCCAUUAUAGGACAC
rnacentral:lncRNA from 10 species